AACGAACGCUGGCGGCAUGCCUAACACAUGCAAGUCGAACGAGACCUUCGGGUCUAGUGGCGCACGGGUGCGUAACGCGUGGGAACCUGCCUUUAGGUUCGGAAUAACUCAGAGAAAUUUGAGCUAAUACCGGAUGAUGUCUUCGGACCAAAGAUUUAUCGCCUUUAGAUGGGCCCGCGUUGGAUUAGCUAGUUGGUGGGGUAAAGGCCUACCAAGGCGACGAUCCAUAGCUGGUCUGAGAGGAUGAUCAGCCACACUGGGACUGAGACACGGCCCAGACUCCUACGGGAGGCAGCAGUGGGGAAUAUUGGACAAUGGGCGAAAGCCUGAUCCAGCAAUGCCGCGUGAGUGAUGAAGGCCUUAGGGUUGUAAAGCUCUUUUACCCGAGAUGAUAAUGACAGUAUCGGGAGAAUAAGCGCCGGCUAACUCCGU
rnacentral:rRNA from 1 species